GAUGAAGAACGUAGCGAAAUGCGAUACGUAAUGUGAAUUGCAAAUUCAGUGAAUCAUCGAGUCUUUGAACGCACAUUGCGCCCCCUGGUAUUCCGGGGGGCAUGCCUGUCCGAGCGUCAUUGCUGCCCUCAAGCACGGCUUGUGUGUUGGGCCCCGUCCUCCGAUCCCGGGGGACGGGCCCGAAAGGCAGCGGCGGCACCGCGUCCGGUCCUCGAGCGUGUGGGGCUUUGUCACCCGCUCUGUAGGCCCGGCCGGCGCUUGCCGAUCAACCCAAAUUUUUAUCCAGGUUGACCUCGGAUCAGGUAGGGAUACCCGCUGAACUUAAGCAUAUCAAUAAGCGGAGGA
rnacentral:misc_RNA from 1 species